UCUAAGGGUUACUGCCAAGUGGGCCA
rnacentral:piRNA from 1 species